rnacentral:tRNA from 1 species
GGAGAGGUGACAGAGUGGACGAAUGUGCCUGACUCGAAAUCAGGUGUGCGGGUAACUGUACCGUGGGUUCGAAUCCCACCCUCUCCGCCA